rnacentral:lncRNA from 1 species
UGGGGACAGAGGAAAAGGCACCGAACCCUGCUCUCGGGCUUUCUCCCCCCAGCCCGCUCCGGACACUGCGCUCCAACCAGGAGGAGCAGGAGGAGGAGGAGGAUGGACAAAAUGGCCGGCGCCCCCAGCCCGGCAGGGAACGGGCGCAGGCGCGGCCCGCCAGGUCACUGCUCAGGCCGGCGGCGACGACCUGCAAGGGGGAUCGCUAAGAGGGGAGGAAGACGGGUCGCUGAGAGAACCCGGUGCGGUGUCACGGCGAACCACGUCGUCGCUGUGCGCCGGCCGGUCGGCGAAACCCAGCCAGCUCGAGUCAAAAAAAAAGAGAGAGAGAGAGAUUUAGGAGUAACAGAAAGUAUAUCUGAAUUUAGAAAGAGGGGAGGGGCUACAGUGACGUAAGAGAAUGACCAAAGGGGGAAAGGCAAAUCAAGAGACAACAAAGAGCAGGCCCCAAAUUCUCCUGGGAUGCAGAGCAUAGGACAUUCUUUUAUGCUAGGGUUGGGAUCAUGGUUUGUGGCACCAGAAGCUUUUCAACAUAUGGCGGUUCCUCUUUAUAAAGAAGAAUACAAAAUAAUGAAUACAGAAUUAUGCAGAGGGCUUUGGAUGAAAUCCAAAAGUCCUGAAAAGUGAAAGUGAAGUUGCUCAGUCAUGUCUGAUUCUUUGAGACCCCACGGACUGUAGCCUACCAGGCUCCUCUGUCCAUUUUCCAGCAGUGGUACUGGAGUGGGUUGCCAUUUCCUUCUCCAGGGGAUCGAAUCCAGGUCUCCUGAA